UAAUAAAGUGUUUUAUGGCACUUUUUAAAUCCAUAUCCACCUUGUGUGCAAUGUCAGUCGAUCUUCUUCAUGGAGAUCGACCAAACAUCAAACCUUUAUCUUUUAACUCUUGUCUGAAAAAUAUUAUGAAUAAACAAUUCAAAAUA
rnacentral:misc_RNA from 1 species